GGGGCUGUAGGGUAGCCAGGACGAUCCUCCCAGCUUGGGGUGCUGGUGACCGGAGUUCAAAUCUCCGCAGCCCCA
rnacentral:tRNA from 1 species